rnacentral:rRNA from 1 species
ACGGGUGAGUAAUGCCUAGGAAUCUGCCUGGUAGUGGGGGAUAACGCUCGGAAACGGACGCUAAUACCGCAUACGUCCUACGGGAGAAAGCAGGGGACCUUCGGGCCUUGCGCUAUCAGAUGAGCCUAGGUCGGAUUAGCUAGUUGGUGAGGUAAUGGCUCACCAAGGCGACGAUCCGUAACUGGUCUGAGAGGAUGAUCAGUCACACUGGAACUGAGACACGGUCCAGACUCCUACGGGAGGCAGCAGUGGGGAAUAUUGGACAAUGGGCGAAAGCCUGAUCCAGCCAUGCCGCGUGUGUGAAGAAGGUCUUCGGAUUGUAAAGCACUUUAAGUUGGGAGGAAGGGCAUUAACCUAAUACGUAAGUGUUUUGACGUUACCGACAGAAUAAGCACCGGCUAACUCUGUGCCAGCAGCCGCGGUAAUACAGAGGGUGCAAGCGUUAAUCGGAAUUACUGGGCGUAAAGCGCGCGUAGGUGGUUUGUUAAGUUGGAUGUGAAAUCCCCGGGCUCAACCUGGGAACUGCAUUCAAAACUGACAAGCUAGAGUAUGGUAGAGGGUGGUGGAAUUUCCUGUGUAGCGGUG